UGUGCUGCAGGGAAGGAGCCGGCUGGAUGCGGGAACGGGGACAGUGCCCCUGAGCCCGCCCCACCUUCCAGUACGGGCUGGUCCAGUCCGCCUUCCAGAGGCCACGAGGUGGCCUCCCACCUGACUUAAGCCAUUCACCACAAUAUCUGAACACGCAUCUUACUCAGAAAAUGGAUUUUGACGAGAAGUCAGGUGGUGGCCUGGGACUUCUGGACGUGAGCAAGGGUACCAGUGAGCCAUGCAGGUGCACAGAAGAGGCUCACCAUAAAUUCAUCACAGGAGAGAGACCAACCUCCUGCGAUCACAUCUUUCUCUACUGAGUUCAUUGAUUGUCGCAAAGAGCUUGGGUUUAGAAGGACAGGUUUGCCCCCUGUACUCAUCAGGAGUUGCACAAAGCGUCAACACAAUUAUUGACUAGAGUCGGGACUAGAACCCAAGUAUCAGCAUUCCUGGUGAGUGUGAUUUCCUCUGCUCGCACACCCACGUCUGUUGGCAUCUGGGACUCACAGAGUCACAUGCCUUUGCAAGGAAAGUGCCUUUCCCCAGAGCUUGAGCCCCUGUCCUGGCCAGUGUCCAUCUUUCUGAGGUUGUGGCCAAGAAGACAUUCUGAGAAACAAAGGUGUGUUCUCUUAGAAAUGUAAGUGUCGUGUAAGACAAAAAAAAAAAAGCCCACACUUGGACUUUUCUGGCUUGAAGCGAACUCGAUUAGCAACCUGGAUAUGUUGUCUGAUCGCCAUUUGGGUUGGAUCACUUAACUUUCUAUGCUUAUUUUGUCUUAAAUGAAAUAGGAAUCAUAACGUGCCCGUUACAGGUGCCUUGGAUAGAUAGGUAGGAGGCAGCAGUGACUUCUCGAAGGAUGUUCUCAGAGCCCCCACAGAAAAGAAGAGCAGAGUGGAGGCAAAUCACAGAGGGGGUCCAUAGGAAGCAGACAGAAGGGGGAAAACAGACUGACACUUCCCCUGCUCUCCUGAAAGCCUCAUGCCUAACUGCAGCGUCCACUGCCUGGCUGGCUCAGUCGGUAGAGCACGAGAGAUGCAUUUAGACCUAACAGAGACAUUUUUUCAGACCCCUCUGCCUCCCACCUGGGCUUGAUGUCAUUUCCCCGCUGCCAGGAUACAGCCCUAUCCCUGCUGUCCUCAUAGGUAAUGCUAAUGUUAGUCAUCUGACCCCCGGAAAUUGUUUUGGUCUAUCAAAAAAGAGGCAGACACGGUGUUAAUGAUCUCAGUUUCCCUUCAUUUGGACAUACUAAUUUAAAUUUUUGUUUUUACAACAAGGGGACUCCCUGGGUCCAGUAAGGUACUUUCCUGUAACCCAAGAGAUAAACUGAGUCAGUCCAAACCUGCAAGGUGUAGUGACCACCACCCGCGUGGACAGGUAGAAAAAAACUAGGUGUGGCUGUUAUUAAAGUCAAGGAAGCGAAAUGAGGAUUUGAUUGACUGAGCCUGUCCACCUGGCCCCCGCCCCAGCAGACCAGGGGUAUGGAGGAGAAAAUAGAUUCCUCCAUGAAGGGUCACCCCGGGGGGAUGGAUGGGUCACAGGGAUCAAAGCUCUCGGAAGGUCCGGAGGUGCAGUGGGAGGCAGGACACUGUGUGUGGACGGUGGGCGUGGAGGGCAGACAUGGAGGCAGCCAGGCGUGGUAUGACUGGCCCUGUAAGGACCUAAAGCAAUUUCUGGCUAACGGGUCUCUUCCCACCAGGGGUACAGCUGGUGUCCAUAAAGCCUCCCAUCCUCAGGGUCCUGCAUUAAGCAGACUUCUGUGAAAAGAACAAAGCAAGUGUAACUGACAGAGCUGCUGACUGGAACUUGCCUUGAGGAGCCACGGGGCUCAUUCCGUUGUCUCCAAGGGGGACUGUAAAAAUUACCGCACACGGUAGAAAAAUAUCAGUUGUGACCUUAUUCUUCUGAAUCCCAAGAUCUCUUUGGGUAACAUGCUUGAAUGUUUUAGAGUCUUAAUACCCAGAAGUUCUUUCUUGUGUUAGAUUUAGGACUUUCUUGAUGCAACGUCUUUGCCUGCAAUCAAAGUAUGCCUUUGUUUACAUACAUACAUAUUUAUCCUUAGGCACAUUUAUUUGUCUUUUUGAAUGCAUAUUUAAAAUUUAAGAGUUAUGCAGUAACUUGACAGG